GAGUUUGAUCGUGGCUCAGGAUGAACGCUAGCUACAGGCCUAACACAUGCAAGUCGAGGGGAAACGGGAAAGCAGCUUGCUGCUUUCUGUCGUCGACCGGCGCACGGGUGAGUAACGCGUAUCCAACCUUCCCAUAACUAAGGGAUACCCCGUAGAAAUGCGGCCUAAUACCUUAUGUACUCCCAUGACGGCAUCAGAAUGGGAGCAAAGAAUUUCGGUUAUGGAUGGGGAUGCGUCUGAUUAGCUUGCUGGCGGGGUAACGGCCCACCAGGGCAUCGAUCAGUAGGGGUUCUGAGAGGAAGGUCCCCCACAUUGGAACUGAGACACGGUCCAAACUCCUACGGGAGGCAGCAGUGAGGAAUAUUGGUCAAUGGGCGUAAGCCUGAACCAGCCAAGUAGCGUGCAGGAUGACGGCCCUAUGGGAUGUAAACUGCUUUUACAGGGGAAUAAAGUGAUUCACGUGUGUUUCAUUGCAUGUACCCUGCGAAUAGGGACCGGCUAAUUCCGUGCCAGCCGCCGC
rnacentral:rRNA from 1 species